rnacentral:rRNA from 1 species
UACAGAGGGGGCAAGCGUUGUUCGGAAUUACUGGGCGUAAAGUGUGCGCAGGCGGCUUCGCAAGUCGAGUGUGAAAUCCCCGAGCUUAACUUGGGAAUUGCGCUCGAAACUACGGAGCUGGAGUGUGGCAGAGGAAGGUGGAAUUCCACGUGUAGCGGUGAAAUGCGCAGAUAUCAGGAAGAACACCCGUGGCUAAGGCGGUUCUCUAGUACGGUACUGACGCUGAGACGCGAAAGCGUGGGGAGCGAACAGG